UAAUAUGAUGACAAAAGGCCCAAUGGCCUGAAUCUAAUCCCAGCUCUUCGAAUGCCUCAACAUAAACAACGCAGAGUGCAUACUGAGAUAAAUUCCUGCCUGAUUAU
rnacentral:snoRNA from 1 species